rnacentral:rRNA from 1 species
UACGUAGGUGGCAAGCGUUGUCCGGAAUUAUUGGGCGUAGAGCGCUCGUAGGCGGAUCGGUAAGUCUGUGAAGAAAGACCCGGGCUCAACUCGGGGAACGGCAUAGAUACUGCUGAUCUUGAGACAGUCAGAGGAUGAUGGAAUUCCAGGUGUAGCGGUGAAAUGCGUAGAUAUCUGGAAGAACACCGGUGGCGAAGGCGGCGAUCUGGGUCGAUACUGACGCUGAGGUGCGAAAGCGUGGGGAGCAAACAGG